rnacentral:rRNA from 1 species
AGUCACUGACAUUAGAUACCCGGGUAGUCCCAGCCGUAAACAAUGUGCGUUAGGUGUGUCGGUAACCACGUGUUACUGAUGCGCCGAAGAGAAAUCGUGAAACGCACCACCUGGGAAGUACGGUCGCAAGGCUGAAACUUAAAGGAAUUGGCGGGGGAGCACCACAACAGGUGGAGCCUGCGGUUUAAUUGGAUUCAACGCCGGACAUCUCACCGGAUAAGACAGCUGAAUGAUUGUCAAUCUGAAGGUUUUACAUGACUAGCUG